rnacentral:tRNA from 1 species
CAAGUUGUGGCAGAGUGGUAAUGCGCUUUCUUUGGGAGAAAGAGGUCCUAAGUUCGAUCCUUGGCAACUUGA